rnacentral:rRNA from 1 species
AGAGUUUGAUCAUGGCUCAGGAUGAACGCUGGCGGCGUGCCUAACACAUGCAAGUCGAGCGAUUUACUUCGGUAAAGAGCGGCGGACGGGUUGAGUAACGCGUGGGUAACCUGCCCUGUACACACGGAUAACAUACCGAAAGGUAUGCUAAUACGGAGAUAAUAUACUUUUAUCGCAUGGUAGAAGUAUCAAAGCUCUGGCGGUACAGGAUGGACCCGCGUCUGAUUAGCUAGUUGGUAAGGUAACGGCUUACCAAGGCGACGAUCAGUAGCCGACCUGAGAGGGUGAUCGGCCACAUUGGAACUGAGACACGGUCCAAACUCCUACGGGAGGCA